AUCUCAGAUGUCCUUUUUGUGUGUUGCAGCUCCAAGCAUUUGGCGGCCAAGGUAGCAUGUACUAUUGCACUAGAAUGAUUGGGGUGAAUCAAUUCUGGCCAAGGUUCUUUACGAAUUGCAAGGAUUGGAUCUCAGUACGAGAAGGCUUGACACAGAAAUUUGGAAUGCCAACAUAUUCUGCGUUGUAUAUAUAUGUACUUUUAUGUCUCUCCUGCAAAAUGCUGAGGGGUGUAAGGUGGGACAUUGUAGAGACGGGGAGGGCUGUACCUAAUUCUAGGCUGUCAAUUAUCAAAAUUUAAUUUGUUUCUACAUUUGUAGUAUACUUUUUCCUGCCUUGGGAGCCCCCCAUAGGAAUUCUAGCAAAAAUUUUACCGGGCCAUUUGUCAGAGGUAGAAAGAACUUCACCUGCAUAGCUUAUCUGUUUUUUGGUUGUAAGCUGUAAUAUUUUUUGGUCAUACCUUGUAAAAUUCUUUCCUUUCUCUGGAUGAGAAUUUACAGCGUCUUUUUCUGAAUCUAUAUAUAUAUAUAUACA